rnacentral:rRNA from 1 species
AUUGAACGCUGGCGGCAGGCCUAACACAUGCAAGUCGAGCGGAGCGGCGGACGGGUGCGUGAUGGCUAGGUAUCUGACUGUUCGCGGUGGAUGGCGUUCAGUACUGGGCGCUAAUACCGCUUCCUAUCAGAAUAGGCUAGGUCGGAUUAGCUAGUUGGUGGGGUAAAGGCCUACCAAGGCAACGAUCCGUAGCUGGUCUGAGUGGAUGAUCAGUCACACUGGAACUGAGACACGGUCCAGACUCCUACGGGAGGCAGCAGUGGGGAAUUUUGGACAAUGGGCGAAAGCCUGAUCCAGCCAUGCCGCGUGUGUGAAGAAGGCCUUCGGAUUGUAAAGCACUUUAAGUUGGGAGGCGUUACCAACAGAAUAAGCACCGGCUAACUACGUGCCAGCCGCCGCGGUAAUAC